rnacentral:pre_miRNA from 1 species
UUUUAUGAAUAAGCAAAUAAAGUGGUUUCUUGAGAUGGAAUCUACUUCUGGUGAAAACGCUGUGAA